rnacentral:misc_RNA from 1 species
GAUGAAGAACGCAGCGAAAUGCGAUACGUAAUGUGAAUUGCAGAAUUCAGUGAAUCAUCGAAUCUUUGAACGCACAUUGCGCCCCUUGGUAUCCCGAGGGGCAUGCCUGUUCUAGCGUCAUUUCACCACUCAAGCCUGGCUUGGUGUUGGGCGACGUCCCCUUUGGGGACGCGCCUCGAAACGCUCGGCGGCGUGGCACCGGCUUUAAGCGUAGCAGAAUCUUUCGCUUUGGAAGUCGGGGCCCCGUCUGCCGGAAGACCUACUCGCAAGGUUGACCUCGGAUCAGGCAGGGAUACCCGCUGAGCUUAAGCAUAUCAAUAAGCGGAGGA